UCCCUUUCGUUCUCAUCUUUCCUCCUAUCCCCCCUCCCUCCCCCGGACACCCCAUUUCCCAAGAGGGAAGAAAGAAACAACGCGAAAAGAGCCCCCCUGGAUGAAGCACGCUCGGAAACUGUCAAAACUUGGAGAAGGGAACCUCGCGGGCAGGCAGGAGAGGAGGAGAAUCCUGAAAGUCGGUGGAGGUUGGGAAGAUGCUGUGCCUCGAGGAUUAGUUUAAACAGGGGGCUAUAAAAGAUGUAACAGAUGCAAACUGUAACACAAGGGCCAUUAACCCUUUCUCUGCCUCCAGUACACUCAGUCCCUACGCCCCGCACCUAUUGUCUCCCAUGCUCGAAGCGUUGCGGAAAACCUGGAAAUUUUGGCCAGAAAUGGUGAGAAGAAAAAGCAUGAAGAAGCCGCGAAGUGUGGGGGAGAAAAAGGUGGAAGCGAAGAAACAGCUCCCGGAGCAAACUGUACAAAACCUCGCCAAGAGUGUCGGGAGGCAGGACCGUUAUUCCUGCGGAGCAGGGGAGAGAAGAGAGACCCUGAAACACGCGCCACCUAUCUUUGUGGGGAGGGAUAAUUGAAGCGCCCUGAGCGUGAGCAUCAUGUGAAAACGUGAUCGCCAAGUUUCUCUCUGGGAAAGGAUCUGGGAUAGAUUAUACCUUGAAGUCUCCGCAAACGCUUUAGUGGAAGAAAUGAAAUUCCACCUCCCUCCCUUCCUCUCUCCCUCCCGCGCGUCUCCUCUCUCCCUCUCUCUCUCUCUCUCUCU